GGAUUGUAGUCUGCAACUCGAGUACAUGAAGCUGGAAUCGCUAGUAAUCGCAAAUCAGAAUGUUGCGGUGAAUACGUUCCCGGGCCUUGUACACACCGCCCGUCACACCAUGGAGUUGGAAGCACCCGAAGUCGAUGACCUAACCGCGAGGGAGGAGUCGCCGAAGGUGAAGCCAGUGACUGGGGUNAAGUCGUAACAAGGUAUC
rnacentral:rRNA from 1 species